CAGCCGCCGCGGGAAAACAGAGGGUGCGAGCGUUAAUCGGAUUUACUGGGCGUAAAGCGUGCGUAGGCGGCUUCUUAAGUCGGAUGUGAAAUCCCUGAGCUUAACUUAGGAAUUGCAUUCGAUACUGGGAAGCUAGAGUAUGGGAGAGGAUGGUAGAAUUCCAGGUGUAGCGGUGAAAUGCGUAGAGAUCUUGAGGAAUACCGAUGGCGAAGGCAGCCAUCUGGCCUAAUACUGACGCUGAGGUACGAAAGCAUGGGGAGCAAACAGGAUUAGAUACCCGUGUAGUCCCUGUCUCUUAUAC
rnacentral:rRNA from 1 species